rnacentral:tRNA from 1 species
GGAGAGUUGACUGAGCGGUUUAAAGUGGCGCCCUGCUAAGGCGCUGAUCGAGUAAUCGGUCCAGAGGUUCGAAUCCUCUACUCUCCG